rnacentral:rRNA from 1 species
GUUGGGUUAAGUCCCGCAACGAGCGCAACCCUUGUGCAUUAGUUGCUACGAAAGGGCACUCUAAUGAGCACUGCCGGUGACAAACCGGAGGAAGGUGGGGAUGACGUCAAGUCCUCAUGGCCCUUAUAGGUGGGGCUACACACGUCAUACAAUGGCCGGUACAAAGGGCAGCCAACCCGCGAGGGGGAGCCAAUCCCAUAAAGCCGGUCGUAGUCCGGAUCGCAGUCUGCAACUCGACUGCGUGAAGUCGGAAUCGCUAGUAAUCGUGGAUCAGAAUGUCACGGUGAAUACGUUCCCGGGUCUU